CAAAAGGCCCUUCUAAGGGCCACUCCCCUGUCUUGAAAAGAGCUAU
rfam:Xenopus laevis strain J chromosome 7L, whole genome shotgun sequence.